rnacentral:rRNA from 1 species
AGAGUUUGAUCCUGGCUCAGAGCGAACGCUGGCGGCAUGCUUAACACAUGCAAGUCGCGCGGUCAGCAAUGGCAGCGGCGGACGGGUGAGUAACACGUAGGAAUCUAUCCCAGGGUGGGGGACAACAGCGGGAAACUGCUGCUAAUACCGCAUGAUACCUGAGGGUCAAAGGCGCAAGUCGCCUUGGGAGGAGCCUGCGUCUGAUUAGCUUGUUGGUGGGGUAAAGGCCUACCAAGGCGACGAUCAGUAGCUGGUCUGAGAGGAUGAUCAGCCACAUUGGGACUGAGACACGGCCCAAACUCCUACGGGAGGCAGCAGUGGGGAAUAUUGGACAAUGGGCGCAAGCCUGAUCCAGCAAUGCCGCGUGUGUGAAGAAGGUCUUCGGAUUGUAAAGCACUUUUGGCAGGGACGAUGAUGACGGUACCUGCAGAAUAAGCCCCGGCUAACUUCGUGCCAGCAGCCGCGGUAAUACGAAGGGGGCUAGCGUUGCUCGGAGUGACUGGGCGUAAAGGGCGCGUAGGCGGCAUGUACAGUCAGAAGUGAAAUUCCUGGGCUCAACCUGGGGACUGCUUUUGAUACGUGCAAGCUAGAGUGAGGAAGAGGGUUGUGGAAUUUCCAGUGUAGAGGUGAAAUUCGUAGAUAUUGGAAAGAACACCGGUGGCGAAGGCGGCAACCUGGUCCUUAACUGACGCUGAGGCGCGAAAGCGUGGGGAGCAAACAGAAUUAGAUACCCUGGUAGUCC